rnacentral:rRNA from 1 species
UACGUAGGCAGCGAGCGUUGUUCGGAGUUACUGGGCGUAAAGGGUGCGUAGGCGGUUGUUUAAGUUUGGUGUGAAAUCUCCCGGCUCAACUGGGAGGGUGCGCCGAAUACUGAAUGACUAGAGUGCGGGAGAGGAUAGUGGAAUUCCUGGUGUAGCGGUGAAAUGCGUAGAUAUCAGGAGGAACACCGGUGGUGUAGACGGCUAUCUGGACCGUAACUGACGCUGAGACACGAAAGCGUGGGUAGUAAACAGG